UACGUAGGGGGCAAGCGUUGUCCGGAUUUAUUGGGCGUAAAGAGCGUGUAGGCGGUCAGGUAGGUCCGUUGUGAAAACUCGAGGCUCAACCUCGAGACGCCGAUGGAAACCAUCUGACUAGAGUCCGGAAGAGGAGAGUGGAAUUCCUGGUGUAGCGGUGAAAUGCGCAGAUAUCAGGAGGAACACCGGUGGCGAAGGCGGAUCUCUGGGCCGAUACUGACGCUGAGGAGCGAAAGCGUGGGGAGCAAACAGG
rnacentral:rRNA from 1 species